rnacentral:sRNA from 1 species
UUUUCGUCUGCUGAAAAGAGGAUGAGGACCUCCGAAGGAGGUUUGAGCCGAGCGAAGCGAGACAACGUUGCUUCAGCAACGGCCCGCAGGGCAGGGUAAUCCUCUCUCGCCGACCA